AUUGAACGCUGGCGGCAGGCCUAACACAUGCAAGUCGAGCGGAUGAAGGGAGCUUGCUCCUGGAUUCAGCGGCGGACGGGUGAGUAAUGCCUAGGAAUCUGCCUGGUAGUGGGGGAUAACGUCCGGAAACGGGCGCUAAUACCGCAUACGUCCUGAGGGAGAAAGUGGGGGAUCUUCGGACCUCACGCUAUCAGAUGAGCCUAGGUCGGAUUAGCUAGUUGGUGGGGUAAAGGCCUACCAAGGCGACGAUCCGUAACUGGUCUGAGAGGAUGAUCAGUCACACUGGAACUGAGACACGGUCCAGACUCCUACGGGAGGCAGCAGCGGGGAAUAUUGGACAAUGGGCGAAAGCCUGAUCCAGCCAUGCCGCGUGUGUGAAGAAGGUCUUCGGAUUGUAAAGCACUUUAAGUGGGGAGGAAGGGCAGUAAGUUAAUACCUUGCUGUUUUGACGUUACCAACAGAAUAAGCACCGGCUAACUUCGUG
rnacentral:rRNA from 1 species